rnacentral:misc_RNA from 1 species
GGGAUGCUUACUUAGUCAUCUGGUUGGCAAACCUCCGCGGACCUUCGGGACCAAUGGAGAGGAACCCAGCCGAGAAGCAUCGAGCCGGUAAAUGUUUACCGGCUCUGACACCAACUGGUGAA